UACAGAGGUGGCAAGCGUUGUUCGGAAUUAUUGGGCGUAAAGGGCGUGUAGGUGGCCCUCUAAGUCAGAUGUGAAAUCCCCCGGCUUAACCUGGGAACUGCGUCUGAUACUGGACGGCUUGAGUAUGGGAGAGGAACGUAGAAUUCCAGGUGUAGCGGUGAAAUGCGUAGAUAUCUGGAGGAAUACCGGUGGCGAAGGCGGCGUUCUGGACCAUAACUGACACUGAAUCGCGAAAGCUAGGGGAGCAAACGGG
rnacentral:rRNA from 1 species